GAUGAACGCUGGCGGCGUGCUUAACACAUGCAAGUCGAGCGAAGCGAUUUCAAGGAAGUUUUCGGAUGGAAUUGAAAUUGACUUAGCGGCGGACGGGUGAGUAACGCGUGGGUAACCUGCCUCAUACAGGGGGAUAACAGUUGGAAACGGCUGCUAAUACCGCAUAAGCACACAGUGCCGCAUGGUACNGUGUGAAAAACUCCGGUGGUAUGAGAUGGACCCGCGUCUGAUUAGGUAGUUGGUGAGGUAACGGCCCACCAAGCCGACGAUCAGUAGCCGACCUGAGAGGGUGACCGGCCACAUUGGGACUGAGACACGGCCCAAACUCCUACGGGAGGCAGCAGUGGGGAAUAUUGGACAAUGGGGGAAACCCUGAUCCAGCGACGCCGCGUGAGUGAAGAAGUAUUUCGGUAUGUAAAGCUCUAUCAGCAGGGAAGAAAAUGACGGUACCUGACUAAGAAGCCCCGGCUAACUACGUGCCAGCAGCCGCGGUAAUACGUAAGGGGCAAGCGUUAUCCGGAUUUACUGGGUGUAAAAGGA
rnacentral:rRNA from 2 species